rnacentral:rRNA from 1 species
ACUUAAGCAUAUCAAUAAGCGGAGGAAAAGAAACCAACUGGGAUUGCCUUAGUAACGGCGAGUGAAGCGGCAAUAGCUCAAAUUUGAAAGCUGGCGCCUUCGGCGUCCGCGUUGUAAUUUGUAGAGGAUGCUUCGGCGAGGACUCCUGCCUAAGUUCCCUGGAAUGGGACGUCACAGAGGGUGAGAAUCCCGUAUGUGGCGGGCGGUCCAAGCCAUGUGAAGCUCCUUCGACGAGUCGAGUUGUUUGGGAAUGCAGCUCUAAAUGGGAGGUAAAUUUCUUCUAAAGCUAAAUACCGGCCAGAGACCGAUAGCGCACAAGUAGAGUGAUCGAAAGAUGAAAAGCACUUUGGAAAGAGAGUUAAAAAGUACGUGAAAUUGUUGAAAGGGAAGCGCUUGCAACCAGACUCGCUCGCAGUUGCUCAGCCCGCCUCUUGGUGGGUGUACUCUUCUGCGAUCGGGCCAGCAUCAGUUCGGGCGGCCGGAUAAAGGUGUCGGGAAUGUAGCACCCUUCGGGGUGUGUUAUAGCCCGGCGCGGAAUGCGGCCAGCCUGGACUGAGGAUCUCGCUUCGGCAAGGAUGCUGGCGUAAUGGUUGUAAGCGGCCCGUCUUGAAACACGGACCAAGGAGUCUAACAUCUAUGCGAGUGUUUGGGUGUCAAACCCAUGCGCGUAAUGAAAGUGAACGGAGGUGGGAACCCGCAAGGGUGCACCAUCGACCGAUCCUGAUGUCUUCGGAUGGAUUUGAGUAAGAGCAUAGCUGUUGGGACCCGAAAGAUGGUGAACUAUGCCUGAAUAGGGUGAAGCCAGAGGAAACUCUGGUGGAGGCUCGCAGCGGUUCUGACGUGCAAAUCGAUCGUCAAAUUUGGGUAUAGGGGCGAAAGACUAAUCGAACCAUCUAGUAGCUGGUUCCUGCCGAA